rnacentral:misc_RNA from 1 species
GGCAUCUGGUGGUGCUGCUGGUGCUUCAUCCCUUCUUUUUGUUUACUCUCUUGACUAUGCCCGUACCCGAUUAGCAAACGACGCCAAAGCUGCCAAGAAAGGUGGAGAAAGGCAAUUCAAUGGACUGGUUGAUGUCUACAGGAAGACAUUGCAGUCUGAUGGUAUUGCUGGUCUUUACCGUGGAUUUAACAUCUCUUGUGUUGGUAUCAUCGUUUACCGUGGUUUAUACUUUGGAAUGUAUGAUUCUCUCAAGCCUGUUUUGUUGACCGGGAAGAUGCAGGAUAGCUUCUUCGCUAGUUUUGCCUUGGGUUGGCUCAUCACCAAUGGUGCU